rnacentral:tRNA from 1 species
GCUGCGAUAGUUUAGCGGUUUAGAAUCCUCGGUUGUGGUCCGAGGGACCUGAGUUCGACUCUCAGUCGCGGCC